rnacentral:rRNA from 1 species
GAUGAACGCUGGCUACAGGCUUAACACAUGCAAGUCGAGGGGAAACGACCGGGAAGCUUGCUUUCCCGGGAGUCGACCGGCGCACGGGUGAGUAACGCGUCCCCAACCUGCCUCUGACUUAGCGAUAACCCGUCGAAAGUCGGCCCAAUACCUCAUGCCAUCGUCUUCGGGCAUCCAACGACGUUUAAAGAUUUCAUCGGUCAGGGACGGGGAUGCGUCUGAUUAGCUUGUUGGCGGGGUACCGGCCCACCAAGGCUACGCUCAGUAGGGGUUCUGAGAGGAAGGUCCCCGACAGGGGAACUGAGACAAGGUCCAAAGUCAUACGGGAGGCAGUAGUGAGGAAUAUUGGUCAGUGGGCGGGAGCCUGAUCGAGCGAAGUAGCGUGCAGGAUGACGGCGCUAUGGGUUGUAGACUGCUGGUAGGCGGGGGGAAAGUGAGGUACGUGAGCGUCAGUGCAGGUACCGGAUGAAUAAGGACCGGCUAAGUCCGUG